GUGUGGGUAAAAGCUUGGACGUAACGAGAAUAGAUGCCUACUUGGAGGCAUCCAAGGCCCAGUAUUCAACAGAGCUGGAUAAGUUCCACAACAUGAUCCCGUUCGACCAAAUGACCAUCGACAUGUUCCCAGAGACCAAGCUAGACAAGGAGAAGCACCCGUACUGCCCACACAAAUCCAUUGCCGAGCUGUAAUUUAUCACUACUGGCCAGCCCGUAAGCCCAUGGCAGACUUAUCACCAGGCAUAUCAGGACCGAGUUUGGGAAACCCUCUCCUAACCUGCUGUGUAAGUCUACCUAACCUGUUAUGAAAGGUCACUUCUGCUUGUCAAAA